UCUCUCUCUCUCUCUCUCUCUCUCUCUGUGUGUGUGUGUGUGUGUGUGUGAGAGAGAGAGAGAGAGAGAGAGAGAGA